GAGGAGAAAAUGAAAAGAAGGAAUGGAGACAGAAAGAAGGAAGGAAGAAAGAAAGGAAUGUAUUAGAGUCGGCCUUAGAUUGCACAGUAUCUUCUGAUACUAUAAGAUCAGUGAGAAGGCUUCCAAGUCAAUUCCAGCUGAAUAGCUCCAAUUCCUGUGUCUGAAAUAUGUCAUGAUUUCAGCAAUUGGGUCUUACCAUUAAGUCCUGGAAGGCAAUCAAGAACUGUGGCAAUAACAUCUCUUGCUUUGGUAGUCUUUUGGAGGAUACUUACCAACAAUUCAAAGGAAAAAGACAAAGUAAUCUGAUCAGAGAAGAGUGCAGGUGGAAGAGAAACGAGUUUAAGAUUUACAGAGACAUCAUGUCUGAAACACCCUUUGUUAUGGGAACACUUGGAAGUCAAUGAAAAAGAAUUGGAGGCUUACAGAUUGGCAGCAAAGGCCCAGGGCAGUAUCAUGUUGUAGGAAAACCCACAUUGAAACUCAAGAACUCCAGAUUUCUUCCACUGAUGGUUUCACUCAUCAAGCAUGAGUAAGCAUCCAUCUAUAUGCUCAUCACUGGGGAUAUAAGGGUAAACAAGACAGCCUCUGUCAU